UACGAAGGGGGCUAGCGUUGCUCGGAAUCACUGGGCGUAAAGGGUGCGUAGGCGGGUCUUUAAGUCAGGGGUGAAAUCCUGGAGCUCAACUCCAGAACUGCCUUUGAUACUGAAGAUCUUGAGUCCGGGAGAGGUGAGUGGAACUGCGAGUGUAGAGGUGAAAUGCGUAGAUAUUGGGAAGAACACCUGAGGCGAAGGCGGGUUGCUGGGCCGACACUGACGCUGAGGCGCGAAAGCCAGGGGAGCAAACGGG
rnacentral:rRNA from 1 species